UACGUAGGGGGCAAGCGUUGUCCGGAUUUAUUGGGCGUAAAGAGCGUGUAGGCGGCUGGGUAGGUCCGCUGUGGAAAACUCGAGGCUCAACCUCGAGACGCCGGUGGAAACCGUAAAGCUAGAGUCCGGAAGAGGAGAGUGGGAAUUCCUGGUGUAGCGGUGAAAUGCGCAGAUAUCAGGAAGAACACCCGUGGCGAAGGCGGCUCUCUGGGACGGUACUGA
rnacentral:rRNA from 1 species